GACGAACGCUGGCGGCGUGCUUAACACAUGCAAGUCGAACGAAGUGGCGAACGGGUGAGUAACGCGUAAUCAACCUGCCCUUCAGAGGGGGACAACAGUUGGAAACGACUGCUAAUCCCGCAUACUGAAGGAGGGGAUUGCGUCUGAUUGGCUAGUUGGAAGGGUAACGGCCGACAAAGGCGAUGAUCAGUCGCCGUUCGGAGAGGAUGAACGGCCACAUUGGGACUGAGACACGGCCCAGACUCCUACGGGAGGCAGCACUGGGGAAUCUUCCGAAAUGGACGAAAGUCUGACGGAGCAACGCAACGUGAGUGAUGACGGCCUUCGGGUUGUAAAGCUCUGUUAAGCGGGACGCGGUACCGGAAUAGAAAGCCACGGCUAACUACGUGCCAGCCGCCGCGGUAAUAC
rnacentral:rRNA from 1 species